rnacentral:rRNA from 1 species
AGACCCGAAACCCGGUGAUCUAGCCAUGGGCAGGUUGAAGGUUGGGUAACACUAACUGGAGGACCGAACCGACUAAUGUUGAAAAAUUAGCGGAUGACCUGUGGCUGGGGGUGAAAGGCCAAUCAAACCGGGAGAUAGCUGGUUCUCCCCGAAAGCUAUUUAGGUAGCGCCUCGUGAAUUCAUCUCCGGGGGUAGAGCACU